AAAAGGGGAGCUUGCAAAGGCUGAGAGUAAACGAUUGCGUUUUGACCCGUAACCUGAUUUGGAUAAUGCCAACGUAGGGAAAUAGUGUUAA
rnacentral:ncRNA from 1 species